UGCCAGCCCCCCGAGUGGUCGGGACGUUUAUUGGGCCUAAAGCAUCCGUAGCCGGUUCUACAAGUCUUCCGUUAAAUCCAGCUGCUUAACAGAUGGGCUGCGGAAGAUACUAUGGAGCUAGGAGGCGGGAGAGGCAAGCGGUACUCGAUGGGUAGGGGUAAAAUCCGUUGAUCCAUUGAAGACCACCAGUGGCGAAGGCGGCUUGCCAGAACGCGCUCGACGGUGAGGGAUGAAAGCUGGGGGAGCAAACCGG
rnacentral:rRNA from 1 species